GCUUUUGCGGUGUAGUGGUUAGCACGCUCGGCGCGUAAUCAAGAGGUCCGUGGUUCGAGUCCCGGUGAGGGCA
rnacentral:tRNA from 1 species